AGAUUGAACGCUGGCGGCAUGCUUUACACAUGCAAGUCGAACGGUAACAGGUCUUCGGAUGCUGACGAGUGGCGAACGGGUGAGUAAUACAUCGGAACGUGCCUAGUAGUGGGGGAUAACUACUCGAAAGAGUAGCUAAUACCGCAUGAGAUCUACGGAUGAAAGCAGGGGACCUUCGGGCCUUGUGCUACUAGAGCGGCUGAUGGCAGAUUAGGUAGUUGGUGGGGUAAAGGCUUACCAAGCCUGCGAUCUGUAGCUGGUCUGAGAGGACGACCAGCCACACUGGGACUGAGACACGGCCCAGACUCCUACGGGAGGCAGCAGUGGGGAAUUUUGGACAAUGGGCGAAAGCCUGAUCCAGCAAUGCCGCGUGCAGGAUGAAGGCCCUCGGGUUGUAAACUGCUUUUGUACGGAACGAAAAGCCUGGGGCUAAUAUCCCCGGGUCAUGACGGUACCGUAAGAAUAAGCACCGGCUAACUACGUGCCAGCAGCCGCGGUAAUACGUAGGGUGCAAGCGUUAAUCGGAAUUACUGGGCGUAAAGCGUGCGCAGGCGGUUUUGUAAGACAGUGGUGAAAUCCCCGGGCUCAACCUGGGAACUGCCAUUGUGACUGCAAGGCUAGAGUGCGGCAGAGGGGGAUGGAAUUCCGCGUGUAGCAGUGAAAUGCGUAGAUAUGCGGAGGAACACCGAUGGCGAAGGCAAUCCCCUGGGCCUGCACUGACGCUC
rnacentral:rRNA from 1 species